AAGGAAAGAGCUUGAAAUCUCAGGCUGUGGUCUGGUGCCAUAAGCAAAUAUGAUCGAAGUCUCACUGACCUGUUUGAAAAAUGCAGAAAACUAGAUCAUGAGCUGAAUGACAAAGUAUAAGGUGAAUAUCACAUAAAGAAUAUCCUGGGAAGGAAUUAAAGAGUGAAGAGAGAAGGGAUUUGAAGGAAAAUACCAAAUAAGAUACUGGGAUAAUGAGGAGUGGGAUUAAAGAGCCAAAGCCAUAGAUUUUGAUUACUUAAAAAAAGAACCCAAUUCAGUGCAGGCUGGGACAGGCACACAUGUGCCUACCUAUUAAUAUGCUGGAGCCGGGAAGCUAAGGCUUAGACUACAUUUUGAAUGCAAAUAUAGUAAAACACAUACAUGAUGAUGAGAAAAAGUAUACAAAACACGAUACGAAUAAUAUG
rnacentral:lncRNA from 1 species